rnacentral:rRNA from 1 species
AGGUAAGCUACUAAGAGCGAAUGGUGGAUGCCUUGACUGGUAAAGGCGAUGAAGGACGUACUAGACUGCGAUAAGCUACGGGGAGCUGUCAAGAAGCUUUGAUCCGUAGAUUUCCGAAUGGGGCAACCCAAUGUAUAGAGAUAUACAUUACCUAUAUAGGAGCGAACGAGGGGAAUUGAAACAUCUUAGUACCCUCAGGAAAAGAAAUCAAUAGAGAUUGCGUCAGUAGCGGCGAGCGAAAGCGCAAGAGGGCAAACCCAGUGCUUGCACUGGGGGUUGUAGGACUGCAAUGUGCAAGAGGUAAGUUUAGCAGAAUAUUCUGGAAAGUAUAACCAUAGAGGGUGAUAGUCCCGUAUGCGAAAAACAAACCUUAGCUAGCAGUAUCCUGAGUAGGGCGGGACACGAGGAAUCCUGUCUGAAUCUGGGUCGACCACGAUCCAACCCUAAAUACUAAUACCAGAUCGAUAGUGCACAAGUACCGUGAGGGAAAGGUGAAAAGAACUGAGGUGAUCAGAGUGAAAUAGAACCUGAAACCAUUUGCUUACAAUCAUUCAGAGCCCUAUGUAGCAAUACAGGGUGAUGGACUGCCUUUUGCAUAAUGAGCCUGCGAGUUGUGGUGUCUGGCAAGGUUAAGCAAACGCGAAGCCGUAGCGAAAGCGAGUCUGAAUAGGGCGCUUAGUCAGAUGCUGCAGACCCGAAACGAAGUGAUCUAUCCAUGAGCAAGUUGAAGCUAGUGUAAGAACUAGUGGAGGACUGAACCCAUAGGCGUUGAAAAGCCCCGGGAUGACUUGUGGAUAGGGGUGAAAGGCCAAUCAAACUUCGUGAUAGCUGGUUCUCUCCGAAAUAUAUUUAGGUAUAGCGUUGUGUCGUAAUAUAAGGGGGUAGAGCACUGAAUGGGCUAGGGCAUACACCAAUGUACCAAACCCUAUCAAACUCCGAAUACCUUAUAUGUAAUCACAGCAGUCAGGCGGCGAGUGAUAAAAUCCGUCGUCAAGAGGGAAACAACCCAGACUACCAGCUAAGGUCCCUAAAUCUUACUUAAGUGGAAAACGAUGUGAAGUUACUUAAACAACCAGGAGGUUGGCUUAGAAGCAGCCAUCCUUUAAAGAAAGCGUAAUAGCUCACUGGUCUAGUGAUUUUGCGCGGAAAAUAUAACGGGGCUAAAGUAAGUACCGAAGCUGUAGACUUAGUUUACUAAGUGGUAGGAGAGCGUUCUAUUUGCGUCGAAGGUAUACCGGUAAGGAGUGCUGGAGCGAAUAGAAGUGAGCAUGCAGGCAUGAGUAGCGAUAAUUAAUGUGAGAAUCAUUAACGCCGUAAACCCAAGGUUUCCUACGCGAUGCUCGUCAUCGUAGGGUUAGUCGGGUCCUAAGUCGAGUCCGAAAGGGGUAGACGAUGGCAAAUUGGUUAAUAUUCCAAUACCAACAUUAGUGUGCGAUGGAAGGACGCUUAGGGCUAAGGGGGCUAGCGGAUGGAAGUGCUAGUCUAAGGUCGUAGGAGGUUAUACAGGCAAAUCCGUAUAACAAUACUCCGAGAACUGAAAGGCUUUUUGAAGUCUUCGGAUGGAUAGAAGAACCCCUGAUGCCGUCGAGCCAAGAAAAGUUUCUAAGUUUAGCUAAUGUUGCCCGUACCGUAAACCGACACAGGUGGGUGGGAUGAGUAUUCUAAGGCGCGUGGAAGAACUCUCUUUAAGGAACUCUGCAAAAUAGCACCGUA